AAUGAAAAGGCAAAGGACAUGUGAUUUUGUUUAACUAUACUAAGUUUCCGCAAGUUUCGACGUAAUUACGUGUUCAAUUUGCACAGAUGGGUUAUUUUCGGUUUAAUAGAUUGAUAUUGUUUAAUCUACCCUGUUGUUUUCUCCUCUCCUGUCCCUUUUGGGGUUCCAUCGGUUCCUGCAGAGCAAAUCUUUCCGUCUAACGCUCAAAUCUAUGGCUCGUGCUCCUCCUGAAAAGGUGUGGGUUAUUAGAAACAUGAAGGUUUUGAAGUUUUUAGUACCAAUCAAUUCCUGAUUGCUCCUACAUCAGAGGAUAUUAAUCGAGCUGUACUCAAGAGCGCUUGCUUCAAAUAACUCAUCAAGUUUCAUCUUCAACCCACCUAUACUAGAAGCAGCUACACUGCCGGCAUGGUGUGUAGUCAAUGCCGGCAAAAUGAAACUCAAAAAAUUGCCAAUCUCCCUACAUCAGAGGCUGGAAUGUUAUGUUAUCGUGUAUUGAAGUACGAUGUCGAGAUCGACCACUCUGUAAGGAAGCUUCUCUAUUCCUUUGGCUGUUUUAUACUUUUAUUUUAUUUAAAUUAUCUCUGGCAAAACAUGUUGUGAAUCUGUAUGCAGUUUUUUCACUGAGCUAUGUCACCUUUGCAUUUUAAAAAACACCAAUAUAUUUUAAGGGGUUGUGUUUGUGUUGCAGCCAGAAAAGUAUGGCAUGAAUGCUCGCAGCAUUACGUUUUGAAAUUGUAAAUUUCUGUGGGUUGAUACUUUUC